GAUGAAGAACGUAGCGAAAUGCGAUAAGUAAUGUGAAUUGCAGAAUUCAGUGAAUCAUCGAAUCUUUGAACGCACCUUGCGCUCCUUGGUAUUCCGAGGAGCAUGCCUGUUUGAGUGUCAUUAAAUUCUCAACCUUUAUCUUUUAUUGAUAAAUGGCUUGGACUUGGGGGUUUGCUGGCGAAAGUCAGCUCCUCUGAAAUGUAUUAGCUGGUUGCCUUGUGUGAACUUGUCUAUUGGUGUGAUAAUUGUCUACGCCGUGGGCUGUUUGCCGUUUUAGCACUGCUUCUAACUGUCUGUUAACUCGGACAAUAUAUGGCAAUUUGACCUCAAAUCAGGUAGGACUACCCGCUGAACUUAAGCAUAUCAAUAAGCGGAGGA
rnacentral:misc_RNA from 1 species